AUGCCCCCCCAAAUGAGUCACUGUGCCCCCCCAACGCAGGGUGGGCAAGCCUUGCCACUUUGCCGUUUUUUGUUUUUAUCUAUUCUUUAUUAAU